UACGUAGGGUGCGAGCGUUGUCCGGAAUUAUUGGGCGUAAAGAGCUUGUAGGUGGCUCGUUGCGUCGGGAGUGAAAACCUGCGGCUUAACCGCAGGCCUGCUUCCGAUACGGGCGAGCUAGAGUUCGGCAGGGGAGACUGGAAUUCCUGGUGUAGCGGUGGAAUGCGCAGAGUAUCAGGAGGAACACCGGUGGCGAAGGCGGGUCUCUGGGCCGAUGACUGACACUGAGAAGCGAAAGCGUGGGGAGCGAACAGG
rnacentral:rRNA from 1 species